rnacentral:rRNA from 1 species
UACGUAGGGUGCGAGCGUUGUCCGGAAUUAUUGGGCGUAAAGAGCUCGUAGGCGGUCUGUCGCGUCGAUCGUGAAAACUUGGGGCUUAACCCUGAGCUUGCGGUCGAUACGGGCAUGACUGGAGUUCGGCAGGGGAGACUGGAAUUCCUGGUGUAGCGGUGAAAUGCGCAGAUAUCAGGAGGAACACCGGUGGCGAAGGCGGCUCACUGGACCGGUACUGACGCUGAUGCGCGAAAGCGUGGGGAGCAAACGGG